CUACGGGCGGCAGCAGUGGGGAAUAUUGCACAAUGGGCGCAAGCCUGAUGCAGCCAUGCCGCGUGUAUGAAGAAGGCCUUCGGGUUGUAAAGUACUUUCAGCGGGGAGGAAGGGAGUAAAGUUAAUACCUUUGCUCAUUGACGUUACCCGCAGAAGAAGCACCGGCUAACUCCGUGCCAGCAGCCGCGGUAAUACGGAGGGUGCAAGCGUUAAUCGGAAUUACUGGGCGUAAAGCGCACGCAGGCGGUGUGUUAAGUCAGAUGUGAAAUCCCCGGGCUCAACCUGGGAACUGCAUCUGAUACUGGCAAGCUUGAGUCUCGUAGAGGGGGGUAGAAUUCCAGGUGUAGCGGUGAAAUGCGUAGAGAUCUGGGGGAAUACCGGUGGCGAAGGCGGCCCCCUGGACGAAGACUGACGCUCAGGUGCGAAAGCGUGGGGAGCAAACAGGAUUAGAUACCCCAGUAGUC
rnacentral:rRNA from 1 species